GUCUUUAAGCGUAGGGUCCCUUAGCUUUUAACUAAAAAAGCUAAGGAAUGACCCUUAAAUAAGAGACUUGAGAGAAGUCCCUUAACGUUUUUAGUUAAAAGUUAAGGGAUCCUACGCUUAAGGGC
rfam:Brassica napus, WGS project CCCW01000000 data, contig: 22666